CAAAGAGUUGGUACUUUGGAUAAUUGUAUGAGAUUUGUAGAUGAUCUAUAGAUUAGAGCUACUUUUGGCAAGAGUAGAAAUAAGGUAACAAUCAAGUAUUUUGAAGCGGUUGAAAACUGCUAUAAAAUAUUGAUGGUAUUGAAGAAAGAUUAAACAACGUGGUUUAUAUUGUUAGAAUUAAAAAUAUGAAAAAUAACUAAAGGCAUUAGUGGUGACUUUA
rnacentral:lncRNA from 1 species